rnacentral:rRNA from 1 species
AUUGAACGCUGGCGGCAGGCCUAACACAUGCAAGUCGAGCGAGCGGCGGACGGGUGAGUAAUGUCUGGGAAACUGCCUGAUGGAGGGGGAUAACUACUGGAAACGGUAGCUAAUACCGCAUACCAUCAGAUGUGCCCCGAUGGGAUUAGCUAGUAGGUGGGGUAACGGCUCACCUAGGCGACGAUCCCUAGCUGGUCUGAGAGGAUGACCAAAAACACCGGAACUGAGACACGGUCCAGACUCAUACGGGAGGAAGCAGUGGGGAAUAUUGCACAAUGGGCGCAAGCGUGAUGCAGCAAUGCCGCGUGUGUGAAGAAGGCCUUCGGGUUGUAAAGGACGUGCAGCGGGGCGGCGUGACCCGCAGAAGAAGCACCGGCUAACUCCGUGCCAGCGGCGGCGGUAAUAC